CCGAAAGUGGGUCACGUCUGCAUUGUGAGAUACUUGUUGCUAAGAAUUGGGUGUGUGCGCUGCUGUAUAGUGAUGCUUGUCGACGUGGAGAGUGGAUUACGUAACCUAGAUGACAAUACAAGCUCAAAAAUAACUUGUCACAGCGGAGAAGAAAUAUACGGCUGUGGUCACAGGCAUUGGCAGAUUUGAGCAUGGUGCGCUUGUCGUUACCGGGGCCGCCGCUUGUCAAGGAGUACGUGCGCGAUCACACCGAAAAGCGGCGUAUUCAACAAAAAAAAAGAGAGGUGCUCAAGGUCACGAGGACCAACAAAACCAUUUAUGGAACGCCGUCCUUGGUCCCCAUGUGGGUGUGGCCCGAGACACAGUGAUAUGUUUUUUAGAGGACCCAAUAAAUGUGUAACAGAUCCAAUGCAACUCAA